CGCUGCUCAUUAGCACCAAGGCUUCUGGCCAACUCAGUUCUCAUCUCCAGUGCUGUGCUCAGCGACUUUGGCAACGAGACUUAAAAAUGCUGUGGAGACGUCUUGCUGGUUACCGAUGCACCCUGCCAGAGUUACCCUCUACCUUCUCCAUCGCACUGCUGCGUCCUAAAGAAGACACCGCCACAUGCUGAGUCUUGGCGCUGAAUCUUCUGAAUAUGAUACAAGGCUUUGAUUUUACUGUCAUUCGGUGAGUUGAGAACAGCGGAUGGGUCGUCCAGCGGAUCCAUAGACUGAGAGCCGCACUUCCUGAGCUCUGCUGACUGUGCUGACGGCGAGUUGGACUGCGCUUUAUAAGGACAGCACUUAUGUGUUAUUAAAGACAAAGAUUCUCUUUAAUUUUGGAGACACAUGGUGGUGCCAUUUUACCCGUGAGGGGUUUUCCUCAGGACCAGCGGGAGGGCUUCCUGGAGUCUUCUAACAUUAGUAGCCCGUGUCCAGUUGACGGAGCAUCUCAGGAUGAAAGUAAAAAUGUCCUCAUACUAUUUUCUACUCUAUUUGCGAAAGUUUUGCCUUUAGGAAUGACUGAUGGCUGCAGAAGAAAGAAUGAUUUCAGCGACAUCCCCAACAUUUCAGCCCCUGUGCAGCCUGGGGGGAAAGUGAUCUCUUUCUCUCUGUCCCCCGUGGCUCCGGGCGGUGCGUCUGCAUGGGUCCUGCUAAGAUGUACAGAAAUCCUUCCAGCAUUAUAAACACGGGUGUCGAAUUCUCCAGGGCGAACAAAGGGGUCGUGCUUGGGUGCAGGGUGCUAUUCGAUCCCUUAGAACGGGGAUAAACAGUCCUGGAAGGUGGAUUUGAACUUCCUUCCAUUAUUAAGGUUUUCCUGCAGAAUCCAAUCUGUGUAAUGGAAGAAUAUAUUUUGUUGACUGGCAUCUUAGAUCUUUAUAGCAUUUGCAAAAUUAUUUUGAACUUUCUUCCUCUAAUUGUAAUCACUUUAACCAAUAAUCCUAAGAACUCAGGGAGAAUCAAAAUACUAAUGUCUCUUCAUAUCUCCUGUGCCCUCCUGUCCUCUCAGCCACCCAGAGUGUACGCAAGCACAGCUGUGGGGUCCCUUGGAGCUUCCGGGGUGCAAUUCUGAGGGUCAGAUGGGUGUCGGCUGCUGUGGCGGUCCAUCUACCAGGCGCUGUUUUCUAUGGGAGGAGAGACUUCAGCCCCCAAGUGCUGUCCAAGGACAGCCCCAGGACUGUGACCAGGGCCUUCCUGCCCUCACGCCACCUGACCCACAGUGGAGGCUGCAGCUGCUGCUUGGCCCAGGGGGUGGCCCGUGGGCACUCAUGAAACAAACCCACUAUCCCGGGCGUUUCUGGGGUGACCUUCUCUGGGGCUGAGUCGGGUUUGAUGCCCGUGGUCACUGUGCCUGCCAGUAUUUGUGAGAUGAGGGGUGUGCACGGCUGAGACAGAAGGAGGUCUGUGGGAUCAGCAGAACCAGCGAAACCCUCCAGGUGUCGUCAUCAAGUCCCGCUGUCUCCUCUCUCCUGGGUGGCUCGCAAACGUCAACAGGCUCACGAGAUGAUGGGGCUGAAUUAUUUCUGGGUCUCCGUUUAAGGCUCUGCAGGAAAAGGAAUACUGGCUGCUGGGUGCACACUGAGUUUGGGGCAGUAUGGCACGGACACAGCUAGGAACAGGUGGGGCCUGUGCAUUUCUCUGCAGUGAAUUUAUGAUGAACGCCACUUUCUUGGUGGAAGGAUGAAGACUGCCUACAUCUCAGGAAACUUGGAAAGAGGACACACAUUUGGACACUUAAAAUAAAUCCACCUUGAGCAGUUUCAUCAACCCCAGAGUCUCCCAUUGACUUGGACUGGGCACAGUAGGUGUUUCCUGAGCACUUCCGUUUGCCUGACACCAACUCCUGCAUCUUUGUGGUGUGUGAUUCUCUGUCUUCUCCUGAGAAACCAUCCCAGCAUGCCACUUUCUAGAUUAAAUGUUUUGUCCCAGCUAAUAUCUCAAAAGCCAUUGGCAACAUUCGGCAUCCCAAGUGAACAGGACAUGGAUGUGAGCUGGUGGAGAUGCAGUUCUGGAACCACGCGGCAGCAGUAAAUCUCCACGCUGUCGUACAAUUUGGCGCAGCCCAAUUUAUUCAUGGUCUUUAAACAAGGAGUGCAGAGGCACAGCCUGAGUGAAUGCCAACAUCAGCUAGUCCCAAUGAGAGCUCAAAGCAGAUUCUAUCAUUUUCUGGGGAAAAAAAAGAGGCAAAAGGAAGGGAAUGCUCAAGUGACAGCCGGCACCCUGCCAUCCUCGUCUGGGGGAAAAGAAUUACUCUCCACCUGCCAGGCACUGGAGACAGUCAGCUCAGCCCCCAAGGGGUUCGGGCCCUGGCUGAAGUCGAAUUUGUGCCUGGACCAAGCCUGCUAGGCACCAGAGGGAGGACGUCGGUCAAAUUAUAUGCAUUUCCUGGGGUCUCUGUUUCCUCAUCUCUAAAUUGGGAUUAAUAAUCUUAUUAGCAAAGUUGUUAUGAGAGUUAAAUGUAAUAGUUAAAUAAAAUAAAAAUAGUUUCAUAAAUGAUACCGUAAACCAAAUAAAAGUCAAAGCCCCCCCGGCCCCCUGCCUGCAACCAUUUGAAUGGACUUCCUCCUCGGCCAGGGCACCCUAAAAUUUAACCUGAAAGACUAGUUCAGGCCAGGAAGAGGGGGUGGACAUGCCUCAUUGUACCCUCCAGCAGUAACAUCAACACAGACCUUAAGUCUGAUGAGAAACAGUCACAGUCUCUUCUCUCCGAAGCCUGCCACUUGCAUGAUAAAACCCGGGUCUGCACAACCCCUUACCUUAACCCAGACAUUCCUUUCUAUAGACAGUAACUCUUUCAACCAAUUGCCAAUCUGAGCAUUUUUAAGUCUACCUGUGAUCUGGAAGCACCCCGCUUCGAGUUGUCCGCCCUUCCGGAUGGAACCAAAGUAAAUCUUACAUGUAUUGAUUGAGGUCUCGUGUCUCCCAAAAAUGUAUAAAAGCAAAAGCUGUGCCCCA
rnacentral:lncRNA from 10 species